rnacentral:rRNA from 1 species
UACGUAGGGUGCGAGCGUUAAUCGGAAUUACUGGGCGUAAAGCGUGCGCAGGCGGUUUUGUAAGCCAGAUGUGAAAUCCCCGGGCUCAACCUGGGAAUGGCAUUUGGGACUGCAAGGCUGGAGUGCGGCAGAGGAGACUGGAAUUCCUGGUGUAGCAGUGAAAUGCGUAGAUAUCAGGAGGAAUACCGAUGGCGAAGGCAGGUCUCUGGGCUGACACUGACGCUCAUGCACCGAAAGCGUGGGGAGCAAACAGG